GCCUCCGUAGCUCAGCGGUAGAUCGCCUCGGCUUCAUAUGUUGUUAUAAAUCUAGCUCAUACAGAGGAGACGUGGGUUCGAAUCCCACCGGAGGUA